AGCAAUGUAGCAUAGAGGCAGGGCACAUGGCUCAUAAUCAAAAGGUUGCUGGUUCGAUUCCCUGCUGGGACAUUGCUG